rnacentral:rRNA from 1 species
CGUCGUGAAGAGGGAAACAACCCAGACCGCCAGCUAAGGUCCCAAAGUCAUGGUUAAGUGGGAAACGAUGUGGGAAGGCCCAGACAGCCAGGAUGUUGGCUUAGAAGCAGCCAUCAUUUAAAGAAAGCGUAAUAGCUCACUGGUCGAGUCGGCCUGCGCGGAAGAUGUAACGGGGCUAAACCAUGCACCGAAGCUGCGGCAGCGACACUAUGUGUUGUUGGGUAGGGGAGCGUUCUGUAAGCCUGUGAAGGUGGCCUGUGAGGGUUGCUGGAGGUAUCAGAAGUGCGAAUGCUGACAUAAGUAACGAUAAAGCGGGUGAAAAGCCCGCUCGCCGGAAGACCAAGGGUUCCUGUCCAACGUUAAUCGGGGCAGGGUGAGUCGACCCCUAAGGCGAGGCCGAAAGGCGUAGUCGAUGGGAAACAGGUUAAUAUUCCUGUACUUGGUGUUACUGCGAAGGGGGGACGGAGAAGGCUAUGUUGGCCGGGCGACGGUUGUCCCGGUUUAAGCGUGUAGGCUGGUUUUCCAGGCAAAUCCGGAAAACCAAGGCUGAGGCGUGAUGACGAGGCACUACGGUGCUGAAGCGACAAAUGCCCUGCUUCCAGGAAAAGCCUCUAAGCAUCAGGUAACAUCAAAUCGUACCCCAAACCGACACAGGUGGUCAGGUAGAGAAUACCAAGGCGCUUGAGAGAACUCGGGUGAAGGAACUAGGCAAAAUGGUGCCGUAACUUCGGGAGAAGGCACGCUGAUAUGUAGGUGAAGCGACUUGCUCGUGGAGCUGAAAUCAGUCGAAGAUACCAGCUGGCUGCAACUGUUUAUUAAAAACACAGCACUGUGCAAACACGAAAGUGGACGUAUACGGUGUGACGCCUGCCCGGUGCCGGAAGGUUAAUUGAUGGGGUUAGCGGCAACGCGAAGCUCUUGAUCGAAGCCCCGGUAAACGGCGGCCGUAACUAUAACGGUCCUAAGGUAGCGAAAUUCCUUGUCGGGUAAGUUCCGACCUGCACGAAUGGCGUAAUGAUGGCCAGGCUGUCUCCACCCGAGACUCAGUGAAAUUGAACUCGCUGUGAAGAUGCAGUGUACCCGCGGCAAGACGGAAAGACCCCGUGAACCUUUACUAUAGCUUGACACUGAACAUUGAGCCUUGAUGUGUAGGAUAGGUGGGAGGCUUUGAAGUGUGGACGCCAGUCUGCAUGGAGCCGACCUUGAAAUACCACCCUUUAAUGUUUGAUGUUCUAACGUUGGCCCGUAAUCCGGGUUGCGGACAGUGUCUGGUGGGUAGUUUGACUGGGGCGGUCUCCUCCUAAAGAGUAACGGAGGAGCACGAAGGUUGGCUAAUCCUGGUCGGACAUCAGGAGGUUAGUGCAAUGGCAUAAGCCAGCUUGACUGCGAGCGUGACGGCGCGAGCAGGUGCGAAAGCAGGUCAUAGUGAUCCGGUGGUUCUGAAUGGAAGGGCCAUCGCUCAACGGAUAAAAGGUACUCCGGGGAUAACAGGCUGAUACCGCCCAAGAGUUCAUAUCGACGGCGGUGUUUGGCACCUCGAUGUCGGCUCAUCACAUCCUGGGGCUGAAGUAGGUCCCAAGGGUAUGGCUGUUCGCCAUUUAAAGUGGUACGCGAGCUGGGUUUAGAACGUCGUGAGACAGUUCGGUCCCUAUCUGCCGUGGGCGCUGGAGAACUGAGGGGGGCUGCUCCUAGUACGAGAGGACCGGAGUGGACGCAUCACUGGUGUUCGGGUUGUCAUGCCAAUGGCACUGCCCGGUAGCUAAAUGCGGAAGAGAUAAGUGCUGAAAGCAUCUAAGCACGAAACUUGCCCCGAGAUGAGUUCUCCCUGACUCCUUGAGGGUCCUGAAGGAACGUUGAAGACGACGACGUUGAUAGGCCGGGUGUGUAAGCGCAGCGAUGCGUUGAGCUAACCGGUACUAAUGAACCGUGAGGCUUAACC